GAUGAACGCUGGCGGCGUGCUUAACACAUGCAAGUCGAACGAAGCAUUUAGGACAGAUUACUUCGGUUUGAAGUUCUUUAUGACUGAGUGGCGGACGGGUGAGUAACGCGUGGGUAACCUGCCUUGUACUGGGGGAUAGCAGCUGGAAACGGCUGGUAAUACCGCAUAAGCGCACAAUGUUGCAUGACAUGGUGUGAAAAACUCCGGUGGUAUAAGAUGGACCCGCGUCUGAUUAGCUAGUUGGUGAGAUAACAGCCCACCAAGGCGACGAUCAGUAGCCGACCUGAGAGGGUGACCGGCCACAUUGGGACUGAGACACGGCCCAGACUCCUACGGGAGGCAGCAGUGGGGAAUAUUGCACAAUGGAGGAAACUCUGAUGCAGCGACGCCGCGUGAGUGAAGAAGUAAUUCGUUAUGUAAAGCUCUAUCAGCAGGGAAGAUAGUGAUGGUACCUGACGAAGAAGCUCCGGCUAAAUACGUG
rnacentral:rRNA from 1 species